rnacentral:rRNA from 1 species
CAAUAGCGUAUAUUUAAGUUGCUGCAGUUAAAAAGCUCGUAGUUGGAUUUCGGGUGGGAAUGGCCGGUCCGCCGUUUCGGUGUGCACUUGCUACGCCCACCUUGCUGCCGGGGACGUGCUCUUGAGUUCACGCUCGGGACACGGAGUCGGCGAGGUUACUUUGAGUAAAUUAGAGUGUUCAAAGCAGGCCUACGCUCUGAAUACAUUAGCAUGGAAUAACACGAUAGGACUCUGGCCUAUCUUGUUGGUCUGUAGGACCGGAGUAAUGAUUAAGAGGGACAGUCGGGGGCAUUCGUAUUUCAUUGUCAGAGGUGAAAUUCUUGGAUUUAUGAAAGACGAACUACUGCGAAAGCAUUUGCCAAGGAUGGUUUCAUUAA